rnacentral:rRNA from 1 species
ACCCCGGAAGGGGAGUGAAAUAGAACCUGAAACCGUGUGCUUACAAGUAGUCAGAGCCCGUUAAUGGGUGAUGGCGUGCCUUUUGUAGAAUGAACCGGCGAGUUACGAUUUGAUGCAAGGUUAAGCAGUAAAUGUGGAGCCGUAGCGAAAGCGAGUCUGAAUAGGGCGUUUAGUAUUUGGUCGUAGACCCGAAACCAGGUGAUCUACCCUUGGUCAGGUUGAAGUUCAGGUAACACUGAAUGGAGGACCGAACCGACUUACGUUGAAAAGUGAGCGGAUGAACUGAGGGUAGCGGAGAAAUUCCAAUCGAACCUGGAGAUAGCUGGUUCUCUCCGAAAUAGCUUUAGGGCUAGCCUCAAGUGAUGAUUAUUGGAGGUAGAGCACUGUUUGGACGAGGGGCCCCUCUCGGGUUACCGAAUUCAGACAAACUCCGAAUGCCAAUUAAUUUAACUUGGGAGUCAGAACAUGGGUGAUAAGGUCCGUGUUCGAAAGGGAAACAGCCCAGACCACCAGCUAAGGUCCCAAAAUAUAUGUUAAGUGGAAAAGGAUGUGGCGUUGCCCAGACAACUAGGAUGUUGGCUUAGAAGCAGCCAUCAUUUAAAGAGUGCGUAAUAGCUCACUAGUCGAGUGACACUGCGCCGAAAAUGUACCGGGGCUAAACAUAUUACCGAAGCUGUGGAUUGUCCUUUGGACAAUGGUAGGAGAGCGUUCUAAGGGCGUUGAAGCAUGAUCGUAAGGACAUGUGGAGCGCUUAGAAGUGAGAAUGCCGGUGUGAGUAGCGAAAGACGGGUGAGAAUCCCGUCCACCGAUUGACUAAGGUUUCCAGAGGAAGGCUCGUCCGCUCUGGGUUAGUCGGGUCCUAAGCUGAGGCCGACAGGCGUAGGCGAUGGAUAACAGGUUGAUAUUCCUGUACCACCUAUAAUCGUUUUAAUCGAUGGGGGGACGCAGUAGGAUAGGCGAAGCGUGCGAUUGGAUUGCACGUCUAAGCAGUAAGGCUGAGUAUUAGGCAAAUCCGGUACUCGUUAAGGCUGAGCUGUGAUGGGGAGAAGACAUUGUGUCUUCGAGUCGUUGAUUUCACACUGCCGAGAAAAGCCUCUAGAUAGAAAAUAGGUGCCCGUACCGCAAACCGACACAGGUAGUCAAGAUGAGAAUUCUAAGGUGAGCGAGCGAACUCUCGUUAAGGAACUCGGCAAAAUGACCCCGUAACUUCGGGAGAAGGGGUGCUCUUUAGGGUUAACGCCCAGAAGAGCCGCAGUGAAUAGGCCCAAGCGACUGUUUAUCAAAAACACAGGUCUCUGCUAAACCGUAAGGUGAUGUAUAGGGGCUGACGCCUGCCCGGUGCUGGAAGGUUAAGAGGAGUGGUUAGCUUCUGCGAAGCUACGAAUCGAAGCCCCAGUAAACGGCGGCCGUAACUAUAACGGUCCUAAGGUAGCGAAAUUCCUUGUCGGGUAAGUUCCGACCCGCACGAAAGGCGUAACGAUUUGGGCACUGUCUCAACGAGAGACUCGGUGAAAUCAUAGUACCUGUGAAGAUGCAGGUUACCCGCGACAGGACGGAAAGACCCCGUGGAGCUUUACUGUAGCCUGAUAUUGAAAUUCGGCACAGCUUGUACAGGAUAGGUAGGAGCCUUUGAAACGUGAGCGCUAGCUUACGUGGAGGCGCUGGUGGGAUACUACCCUAGCUGUGUUGGCUUUCUAACCCGCACCACUUAUCGUGGUGGGAGACAGUGUCAGGCGGGCAGUUUGACUGGGGCGGUCGCCUCCUAAAAGGUAACGGAGGCGCUCAAAGGUUCCCUCAGAAUGGUUGGAAAUCAUUCAUAGAGUGUAAAGGCAUAAGGGAGCUUGACUGCGAGACCUACAAGUCGAGCAGGGUCGAAAGACGGACUUAGUGAUCCGGUGGUUCCGCAUGGAAGGGCCAUCGCUCAACGGAUAAAAGCUACCCCGGGGAUAACAGGCUUAUCUCCCCCAAGAGUUCACAUCGACGGGGAGGUUUGGCACCUCGAUGUCGGCUCAUCGCAUCCUGGGGCUGUAGUCGGUCCCAAGGGUUGGGCUGUUCGCCCAUUAAAGCGGUACGCGAGCUGGGUUCAGAACGUCGUGAGACAGUUCGGUCCCUAUCCGUCGUGGGCGUAGGAAAUUUGAGAGGAGCUGUCCUUAGUACGAGAGGACCGGGAUGGACAUACCUCUGGUGUACCAGUUGUCGUGCCAACGGCAUAGCUGGGUAGCUAUGUGUGGACGGGAUAAGUGCUGAAAGCAUCUAAGCAUGAAGCCCCCCUCAAGAUGAGAUUUCCCAACUUCGGUUAUAAGAUCCCUCAAAGAUGAUGAGGUUAAUAGGUUCGAGGUGGAAGCAUGGUGACAUGUGGAGCUGACGAAUACUAAUCGAUCGAAGACUUAAUCAA